GAUGAACGCUGGCGGCGUGCCUAAUACAUGCAAGUCGAGCGAACAGACGAGGAGCUUGCUCCUCUGACGUUAGCGGCGGACGGGUGAGUAACACGUGGAUAACCUACCUAUAAGACUGGGAUAACUUCGGGAAACCGGAGCUAAUACCGGAUAAUAUAUUGAACCGCAUGGUUCAAUAGUGAAAGACGGUUUUGCUGUCACUUAUAGAUGGAUCCGCGCCGCAUUAGCUAGUUGGUAAGGUAACGGCUUACCAAGGCAACGAUGCGUAGCCGACCUGAGAGGGUGAUCGCCACACUGGAACUGAGACACGGUCCAGACUCCUACGGGAGGCAGCAGUAGGGAAUCUUCCGCAAUGGGCGAAAGCCUGACGGAGCAACGCCGCGUGAGUGAUGAAGGUCUUCGGAUCGUAAAACUCUGUUAUUAGGGAAGAACAAAUGUGUAAGUAACUAUGCACGUCUUGACGGUACCUAAUCAGAAAGCCACGGCUAACUACGUG
rnacentral:rRNA from 1 species